rnacentral:rRNA from 1 species
GACGAACGCUGGCGGCGUGCCUAAUACAUGCAAGUCGAGCGAAGUUUUUCUGGUGCUUGCACCGGAAAAACUUAGCGGCGAACGGGUGAGUAACACGUAAAGAACCUGCCUUAUAGACUGGGACAACUAUUGGGAACGAUAGCUAAUACCGGAUAACAGCAUUAACUGCAUGGUUGAUGUUUGAAAGUUGGUUUUGCUAACACUAUGAGAUGGCUUUGCGGUGCAUUAGCUAGUUGGUGGGGUAAAGGCCUACCAAGGCGACGAUGCAUAGCCGACCUGAGAGGGUGAUCGGCCACACUGGGACUGAGACACGGCCCAGACUCCUACGGGAGGCAGCAGUAGGGAAUCUUCCGCAAUGGGCGAAAGCCUGACGGAGCAACGCCGCGUGAGUGAAGAAGGAUUUCGGUUCGUAAAGCUCUGUUGUUAGGGAAGAAUGAUUGUGUAGUAACUAUACACAGUAGAGACGGUACCUAACCAGAAAGCCACGGCUAACUACGUG